CUACCCCCACAAGGCGAUUUUGACCCCCUGAGGGCUGCUCUAGAGGACUCAGGCCCCGAAGCUGUCCCAGGGAGGUCCCCGCUGCAUCCCACCACCCAAGCUGUGCCUCAUGGAGUCGAUGUUUAGCAGCCCUGCCGAGGCGGCGCUGCAGCGAGAGACCGGGGUGCCAGGACUGCUUACUCCUCUUCCGGACCUGGACGGAGUGUACGAGCUGGAGCGAGUCGCUGGAUUUGUCCGCGACCUGGGGUGUUGCCUUGCAGUUCCCUGACCAGCUAUUGGGAGAUGCUGUGGCUGUGGCUGCACGACUGGAGGAGACGACAGGGUCAAAGAUGUUCAUUCUGGGUGACACAGCCUACGGCAGCUGCUGCGUGGAUGUGCUGGGUGCUGAGCAAGCUGGAGCUCAGGCUCUCAUACAUUUUGGCCCUGCCUGCUUAAGCCCUCCAGCCCGCCCACUGCCCGUUGCCUUCGUGCUUCGUCAACGUUCUGUGGCCUUGGAGCUCUG
rnacentral:lncRNA from 1 species